rnacentral:rRNA from 1 species
AUGUUCUGCAAGGAGUCAGAGUUGCAUCGGGGCGCCAAGCUUGUCUACAUGGGUGACAGCAAGUUCUGCCUCAUUGAGUCCCUGUUCCACAAGGAUGACCAGCAUUUGCGCCGUGAUCCUACUGAGAUGGAUCUCUGUGACGGCUGCCCGCCUAGGCGCCGCCGCGUGCUCCACGUGACCACGUUUGGCCUCAAGUACAAUACAGCAGGAAAUCUGCAGGUCAUGCUGCGACAAGCUCACGCGUGCAUGAUGUUUAAGCGGCCUCAUGAUUUCACGGAGCCAUCACUGGAGCCUUUGGCAUUUUGGAUCUAA